GAUAAUUGUAUCACAGGCAGAGGAUUUCUGCUGGGAGUGGUUUACUUUAUUGUAUGUGUUGUAAUGUUUUUAUUGGUUGUUCUGAAAAACCCUGUGGGCGGUCCUGUAUGUGUUAAACCUGCAUAAAAGAAGGCUCUUUGGUGCCAAGUAAAAAGUGUUCUACUUCACCCUCAAUUUGGAGUGCCGUCUCUUAUUGGGGGAAUCUGCUACAAGGGAUUGCUAUGCCUGACAACAGAGUUACC